CGCAGCCGCCCCGCUCCGACCCCCGCCGCCCGCUGGGCCCAGCCCGCGGCGAGUGUCCCCGUGCGUUUUCCAGCCCGAAGCGAGUUGGCAGAAGGUCCUUCUGAGCCGAGAACGUGGCGAACGCGCAAGGGAAAUGGGCGAGGGGAAUGGCCGGUCCCCACCGAUCGUUGCCGACCGCAAGCACCAGACUCGCAUCUGACAACUGGCUGUGUUUGCGGUGUAGGGAAGGCCCCACUGAGGCCUCGCUGGCAUGAGGGUCGAAGGAAGACAGCUGAGCUCCUGACUUUCUUGGGGCCGGCAUUAAUUACUCCGUGCAACUUGCCACCGAGUAUCUCAUUUGGGGUGUCCCAUGGGGAGCUGCGCAAAUAAGGUGCCUUGUAGUCAACUGCCAACUUGAUGGACUGGAUGCCUCGCUGUGCCAAGUCAGACAUGAAGAGUCACUCCUUCAAGAGCAGAUUCUGCAAGGUGGCGUUUCUGGUCUUAAAAGGUAGAAGGGUGGGACAAAACCAGUCAGACCAAGCUCAGGACAAGAGCCGUACCACACAGAGGCUUUCAUUCUGGUGUUUCUUACCCUGCUCUGCACCAGGAAGCCUUACUCUACUGCGGAACAGUACAAGUCAAAGCAGAGUUCAUCGCAUUUGUGUAGUCAACCCACACACUGACUCAACCAAGUCUUGAUCAAGUUACCUCUUGUUUUUGCGGGUUUGUUGUUGUUGUUGUUUCUUUGAUUUUUUUGUUUUG
ensembl:lncRNA